rnacentral:rRNA from 1 species
GACGAACGCUGGCGGCGUGCCUAAUACAUGCAAGUCGAACGCAGUGGGGACGGGUGAGUAACCCGUGGGUCACCUCCCCAUCAGGGGGGAUAACACUUGGAAACAGGUGCUAAACCGAUAUUGAUGGAUGGACCCGCGGUGCAUUAGCAAGUUGGUGAGGUAACGGCUCACCAAGCCCACGAUGCAUGACCGACCUGAGAGGGGGAUCGGCAACACUGGAACUGAGACGCGGCCCAGACUCCUACGGGAGGCAGCAGUGGGGAAUCUUGGGCAAUGGGCGAAAGUCUGACCGAGCAACGCCGCGUGAGUGAAGAAGGUUUUCGGAUCGUAAAACUCUGUUGUUAGGGAAGCGGUAUCUAACCAGAAAGCCACGGCUAACUACGUGCCAGCAGCCGCGGUAAUAC